rnacentral:lncRNA from 1 species
AUGGCGUGUGAACAUUCGAGAUUUGAUAAUCUUUCAAGGGUUUUAAAGCUUGAUUUAGAGUGUGUUCAUCUUUGAUUCUUGUACAAAGUCAGAUUUUUAGUUCGAUUUGAUCCUACAAUUUGGUAUCAGAGUUUGGUACACGAAUUUGGGAUCCAACAAUCUCCAAAUUCAUCAUAAAAAUCUGAUUUUUAUUUGAAAAGUUUUGAAACUUUUAGGGUUUUUGAUUUUAUUCACUUUUCCUUCAAAAAUCUUGUUUUUAAAAAGAGUUUAAAAUGUUCGUUUGAUGGAGAGUUGAAAAAAGUGUGAUUAGAAAGAUUUAGAGUGAUCUUUCAUAUCAUUUAGAGGGGUUUUGAUUCGGAUCAGUAGGUUUUUGGGCAAGUUUUGGGGUUUCAAACAGAUCUGCACAUUUGUAUUUAAGAUCUGGGUGUUUUUUGUUGAAGAUUCCGCGUUUUUUUCAUUCCGGCGAACUUUUCCGGCCUACUAAUACCUUUCCGGCGACUUUGAGUUUUCCGGCGUCGACUUUGAUUUUUCCGGCGUGUUUAAAUCUUGAACGCCAGUUCAAGUUGACGGCGUAUUUGGUAAAUACGCCGAACAAUCAACGUUUUUCCGGCGUCGUUAUUCCGUCGUCGUUGUUCAGAAAAGAGAGUAGAAAGAGAAAGUUCUUUUUAGGGUUUCUAGUUGUUAUUUGCAAUCAGCGCCGCACCACCACUAUACGCCACCACUGAAACAUCAUCACCAACUUCAACUUAAAACUCCACCACACAAACCAGCCUCCCCCGUUCCACUAAUAUCACCGUCAAUCACCCUCUGUUCACCGUCAUCUUUCUACCACCGUACAUCACCUGAUUCAACCACAACCCGCAACCAACACACCCGAUUUGAUAAACCACAAGGAAGCAAGUACAAUGAGCAGAAUCAGGAUAUGGUAAACACGACCUACGUUUAAUCGUCAUAUUCAUCAUCACACGACCUACAUCUAAUCGUCGUCUUCAUCAUCUCUUUUGUUACCUGUAAAGCUUGAGGCUGAACCACCAUAUUCCACCGCUAGACCACCGUAGACUCAUAAUCACCACCAGAGCUUACUUGUUUGUUUUGUUGUGUUGUGAGAAAUAGUAGAAAAGAUUGAUUUGCUGUUGUCGGUGAUUAGAUUUAAAAAAAAAAAGAGGGUGGCGGCUGCAUAUAUCUUAGGGUUUGGGAGUUGUUGCAGGAAGAAAGAGAGGUGACCGACUGCAUAUUUCAAAGAGGGUGGCGGCUGCAUAUAUCUUAGGGUUUAGGGUUUAGUUGGAUGAUAUCAUAUAAGGGUUUAAUUUAAUAUAUUAAAAAAAACGUUAAUUAAAUCUUGAAGGAUGAAUUAUCUUUUGGGGAUUUAGAUGGAAAAUGCACAGACACAUGGGUCCAUGGAAUUAAUUUUUAUUUAAUCAAUUAACGGAUUCUUCAUUU